rnacentral:rRNA from 1 species
CAGCAGUCGCGGCAACACAAGGAAGACAAGUGUUAUUCAUCUUAAAUCGGUUUAAAGGGUACCUAGACGGUAAAUUAAGCCUUAAAUGGUACGUUUUUACUAGAGUUAUAUAUGCGUGAGGAAUAUGUGAGUAUUACCAGAGUAGAGAUGCAAUUUUUUGAUACUGUUGAGACUGGUAAAGGCAAAAGCAAACCUUUAUAUAUUAACUGACGUUGAGGGACGAAGGCUUGGGGAGCGAAUAGGAUUAGAUACCCUAAUAGUCCAGGCAGAGAAUUAUGAAUGUCAUAGAAUAGAUAUAACAUGUUCUAUUCUAUAAAUGAAAGUGUAAGCAUUCCACCUCAAGAGUAAUGUGGCAACGCAGGAACUGAAAUCAUUAGACCGUUUCUGAUACCAGUAGUGAAGUAUGUCGUUUAAUUUGUUAACCCUCAAAAAACCUUACCACAAUUUGAAUAUAUUUAAUAGAUAUAAAAAAAUUAUUUUUUUAUUUAUUUAUUUAUACAAGCGUUGCAUUGUUGUCUUCAGUUAAUGUUGUGAGAUUUUGGUUAGAUUCAUAAAAUUGACGUAAUCCUAUAUUCUAUUUAUAUAUUAAUAGAUUAGAUCACCGCUAUAUUGGAUAAUGAUAACCGGGAGUAAGACAAGUCAUAAUGACCUUAAUAUUGUGGGCUAUGAGACGUGCCACA